rnacentral:rRNA from 1 species
GGUGAAUCCGGUAAUCAAUGGCCAUACUCUUGUUGUACAUUGAACACACGACGGCACAGAGGAAUCGAGAGGCCGGGUCAGAGAUGGAUCUCUGGAAAAAGACGGCCUGUAGAAUCCGAACACGUGUCAAAUUGUGUUUCGGGGGAAAGCGACAACCCGUGAAUCUCGAGCGGAGGACAGAAGCUGUGCUCCCGUGAAACAACGGCGGACGGGUGAGUAAUGCCUAGGAAUCUGCCUGGCAGUGGGGGACAACCUUUCGAAAGGAACGCUAAUACCGCAUACGUCCUACGGGAGAAAGCAGGGGACCUUCGGGCCUUGCGCUAUCAGAUGAGCCUAGGUCGGAUUAGCUUGUUGGUGAGGUAAUGGCUCACCAAGGCGACGAUCCGUAACUGGUCUGAGAGGAUGAUCAGUCACACUGGAACUGAGACACGGUCCAGACUCCUACGGGAGGCAGC